GGGGCUGUAGCUUAGUAGGCUAAAGCAUCGGCGUCGCAUGCCGGAGACGGCGGUUCAACUCCGCCCAGCUCCACCA
rnacentral:tRNA from 1 species